rnacentral:tRNA from 1 species
GAAGGUGUAGCUCAGUGGUAGAGUGUGUGCUUAGCUUAUACAAGGUCCUGGGUUCAAUCCCCAGUACCUCCA